rnacentral:lncRNA from 1 species
GCUUUCAGUUGGGAGCUCCGCUGUGGCACCUUGGUUCUCCUCCAAAUGGAUUCUCUUCUCCACGUGGUGCCUCACCCUCCAGGGCCUCUUUAUGUGGUCCUCCUCUCCAGGAGGAUAGCUUCAGAGCAUGGCAGGUGGGUUGGAAAAGAACCAGCUCAACGUGCAAGCGUUAACCAAGCCAGUGCUCGUGUAGAGCUCCUAGUGUCCUGGUAGCUAAAGAAAGUCGGUGAAUAAGAAUGAGCUUUUCCUCAAAGUAUGCGAUACCGGGCCAACACAAACAACAGAAGUAUAUUAGACACACACACUCAGAAAUUCUCUUUCUCUUUAUUUAUUUGACUGCACCAUCUGCCAAAACAUCAAAACAAACAAAACAUAUUUUUACCAUGUUGUGAUUGUAGCAUAUUUUACUUCAUUACAAAAGUACAGGCAAUUCAUUGUAUGUCAUGCAAGGCUGUUCAGAGCAUGGGGGCGGGGAGAGGUGUUUCAAGAAAUUAGGAAAACAAUUCCAUUUACAAUAUCAUCAGGAAGAGUAAAAUAUUUAGGAAUAAACUCAACUGAAAACUAUAAAAUAUUGCUGAAAGAAAUUAAAGAAGACACAAAUAAUUGAAAAGACCUUUCACAUUCAUGGAUUGGAAGGCUCAAUAUUGUUAAGAUGGUGAUACUACCAAAAGUGAUCUACAGAUUUAAUGCAAUCCCUAUUAAAACCCCAAUGCCAUUUUUUUGCAGAAAUAGAAAAAUCUAUCCUAAAAUUCACAUGGAAUCUCAAAGGACCUCAAAUAGCCAAAACAAACUUAAAAAAAGAAGAACAAAGUUGGAGGCAUCACACUUUCUGAUUUGAAAACUUCUUACAAAGCUACAAUAAUCAAAACAAUGUGGUCCUGGCAUAAAGACAGACAUAUAGACCAAUGAAAUAGAACAAAACCCCAGAAGUAAACCCUUAUGUACAUGGUCAAAUGAUUUUUGACAAGGGUGCCAGGUUCAUUCAAUGGUGAAAGGACAGUUUUUUCAACAAAUGUUGUUGGGAAAAGUGGACAUCUUUAUCUUACAUCAUAUACAAAAGUUAACAUAAAAUGGAUCAAAAACCUAAACAUAAGAGCUAAACCGUAAAACUCCUAGAAGAAAACAUAGUGGGAAAGCUUCAUAACUUUGGAUUUGGCAAUGAUUUCUUGGAUGUGACACCAAAAGCACAAGCAGCAAAACAAAAAUAGAUAAAUUGGAAUUCAUCAAAAGUUAAAACUUCUGGGCAUCAAAGGACACAAUCAAUAUAGUGAACAGGCAACCCAUGGAGUGGGCGAAAAUAUUUGCAAAUCAUAUAUUUAAUAAGGGAUUAAUAUCUAGAAUAUAUAAGGAACUCCUGCAACUCCACAACAAAAACAACAAAACCCCCAAUUUAAAAAUGGAUAAAGGACCUGAAUAGACAUUUCUCUAAGGAAGAUACACAAAUGGCCAGUGAGCACACGAAAAUGUGUUCAAUAUCACUAGUCAUUAGAACAAUGAAAAUCAAAAUCACAACAAGAUGCACCUCACACCCAUCAGGAUGGCUACUACCAAGAAAACGAGAGAAUGACAAGUUUUGGUGAAGACUCAGAAGUUGGAACCCUUGUGCACUGCUGUUGGGAAUGUAAAAUGGUGCAGUCAUUAUGGAAAACAUUAUGGUGGCUCCUCAAAAAAUUAAAAAUAGAGUUAUCACAUGACCUAGCAACCCCACUCCUGGGUAUCUACCCAAAAGAAUUGAAAGCAAGGUCUUAAAGAGAUAUUUGUACACCCACGUUCCCAGCAGCAUUAUUCACGAUAACCAAAAGGUGGCAGCAACCCAAGCGUCCCUCAGUGAAAGAAUGAAUAAACAAAAUGUGAAUAUACAUACAGUGGAAUAUCAUUCAGCCUUAAAAGGAACAGAAAUUCUGGCAUUUGCUACAACGUGGAUGAACCUGGAAGACAUCAUGCUGAGUGAAAUAAGCCAUUCACAGAAAGACAAACACCAUUCCUAUGAGGAAGGCUCAGAGAAAAUCCCAUUCACCAAGGCCGUAAUGUACCUGCAUCACCAGGAAGCUCCAUGGUGGCCCCCCUCUGCAGACAGUGGGAGAGGUUUCUACAGAGCUGGGCUCGCUGAACGCAAGAGGGAUGAUAGGACCCUGGAACAAGAGUGGCUAUGUGGUGACGCAACUCUCAGAAAUCAGGUGAAUGCAAUGAUCAUAAUCAGCAAAAAGCUCAGAGGGGCAAUCAAGGAAGGCUGGACCACAGAAUGUGAUGGAGAUGGAGACCACAUCCCCAGGGGCAAAAUACCUGUCAACAAGAGCACUACGCAACUUGUGCCAUUGGAAGAAAUCGAGGAUGGAUAUUCAGGAGGCCGGUGGUGGGUACCGCAAUAAAAGUCCCAAUAACUUGCCCCAGAGUUGGAAAACUCUGAACCCCUUGACUGAGAGGAGGGCCAGGUCUCCAAGAAAAAGGACCAUGCAACACCUGGGUGAAUGGGCACAGCCAAGAUACCUUGAGGUCUUCCUCAAAGGGAUCUAAGGACUCAGGGAACUCUUCACCAGGAAAAGGGGAAUAUCAAGUUUUUGGAGAACUGCGGGAGGUGACUGAUAUGUGGAGACCUGAAGAGUCAUCAUGGCCCUCUCGCUCUGUUGUGUGGGACAGAGGGCAGCCAAGCAAUAAGUAAAAUCUUGCCUGUGGUCUGGUGGCUCACAGUGGUUUCAAUAGGUCCACAGAUCCAAUCAGUUGUCGUUUCCCCCAUCUCCAAAUGUAUAACCGGGGUAGAUAUUCUCAGAACUUGGCACAACCUUCACAGUGGGUCUUUGGCCUGUGGGAUGGGAGCUUUCAAUGGGGAAAGCCAAGUGGAAUUUUCUAAAGCUACCCCCAUUCACAUAGCCAAGAUAGCAAAUAAAACAUGUGUAUGAUAUAUAUUUCAUCCUGGGGGAAGGAAGAAUAUGGGGGCAGUGAGGAGAGGGGACUAUGGGAUGUAUAAGAGGAGAGAGGGGCAGAUGGCUGAAGUUAGUGCUACCCUUAGGGAUCUAAAAGGUAGCAGGUUGGUUCUCCCUGUUAUAUCUCCAUUUAAUUAACCUGUCUGGCUCCUGAAGGAUCCAGGUUGGUCCUGGAGGCCAAGAGUGGACGACGGCAACUCAACCAAGUAGCCCGCCCAAACUGGGCCCAAUGAGGUAUUCUUGCUAGAGCAGAUUCACACAGCCUCCAGUACAUGGGAUGCAACCAUGGGUUUGGUAAAUGUGUUCUCUAUGGCUGUCAGAAAGGAGAUCAGAAAGAGUUUGCAUCUGCUUGAUACAUUUCUUUGCAGUUCACAAUACACAUUCACACUUUUGCCCCAGGGCUAUCUUAACUAUGCCUGAAGAAGUGUGGACCCAUGAGACAUCAUGCAGAACACCGACCCACUACAUCAAUGAUCUUUCCUAGGGAUCCCUGAGAUCCUGACUCCCUGUCAUGGGAUCUGGAGUAACAGCGCCGUGGACCAGGGCAUCUACUUGGUAAUGAAAGAAAUGAGCAUACAACUACAGAAUCUGCUGGCCCAUAAGCCCUAUAAACCAAAAUCUAAGGACCUGACAGAAGGUUGAGAUGCAUUCCUGGGCUACUGCCAGGACUCCACCUUGGGGUGACACCCUGCAAGGACACUGUACAACACAUGGAAUAUUCUUAGGCCUUUAUUUGGUUCCAAAGUGUUUAAAUUAUACUGAAACAGAAACAAGAGGCUGGGAUCUGCCUCUAAUAUUUUAAUAUGUUUAAUUUUUUGGCUUUUAACGAUGAUCUGAAAAGACCACCCAGCAGAAGAGUGAAAGUAGAGAACAAUGACAUUAAAUUUAAAACAAAUCAUUGUAAUUCACAGGUUAGCCUGCAGAUGGUGCCAUAUUACUACUUUUUCUCUUUGCUUUUUCUUCGCUUUAAACCAUCACCUUGACUGCCGUGGGUCAGUGUCCGUCUGGUUGUGACAAACGGGAAGGCAGGCCACAGUCACUGAUUCUCAAAACAUUUGGAGUGGAUUUUAUACUGUCUGAUGUGCAAUCUUCCUUCAAAGAAAGAUAGAUGGUAUUGCUAAUAAAAUUAAAACAGCUCCAAGAAUGGCAGAAUGUAAUGGAAUUUAGGGAGCCUUCUGUCUAACUAUCAGCAGAUAAGAAAGUUAUUUCCUCAAAAUAAUACAGCCAGUAAUUGUCAGGGACAAGCCUCUGCUUCUGACCUUCAGUCACAAGUUAGCCUUAGUUCUGUUACCCCGUUAUUGUCUUCUCACAGGUUAGGGUAAACAUUAUCUCGAGAAUUUGAGAACAUCCUUAUUGGAGAUAGUUUUUAAACCCUGGUUGGCAAUAAUUAACACCCUUGAAUGGGCAGUAGAUUGUACAAACACCACAUGGAAAUGUCAUUGCUUGAUUACAGCAAAGUAAAAAGCCACUAGUCUACAGACUCAGAUUAAAUAUGGAAUAACACAUUUAAGAAACCAGAGAGUAUUUAUGAUUAAGAAGUGGGAAGGAGGAUUAUGGGAUGUGUAAGGGUGGAGGCGGCACAAUUAACGUAUUUUUUGUGCCAUGCACAGUUGUACAUGUUUCUGGGAAAAUAACAGAUCCAAUUAAUUAAUCUUGUCCAUUGGCAGAGUGGGCAAUGAAAUAUACAGUAUGGCUUCAGGGGCACUGGAAAGUAUUCCUGAAUCAUUUGCUCUUAAGUUGAGUUCAAGUUUUUCUGCCCAUUGUGGUACCAUUAAGGCUUAUCGAGAUGUGGGGUCCUGUGUACUAGGUGGGCACUGGUGAAAUGUGACCGUAAGGCGGAGAUUCUCAUACUUUUUGUUUAGAAGAACACUCUACGGUAUUAAAAGUUAUUAAGCACCCCAAAGAGCUUUUGUUUUUGUGGGUUACCGCCAUCGAUAUCCACCAUAUUAGACAUUAAAACAGAAAAA